GCCAUGUGGAAGGCACCAUCGAGCAUACCGAACUACAACUUGAGGGCGUUCUGCACAAUCGUGGAGCACAAAGACACUUAUUGGUUGAAAGUUCCGUCUUCUUACUUCACGGCUGCAAAUAGCAAAACAGACAAUUGUGUGCACGGGCAGUGCGUGGCACUCAAAGAAUCGACCUCACGCUGCAAAUGUGAAGCAGGAUACGCUGGUCCAACGUGCGAAUCCGGUAACUGCAUGUGACUGCAUAUUAAUUAAUUAAUUAACACGUGCACAACUGAACGUUCUCGUUUUGCGUGCAUUUCGUUCUAAGUUCGCACAGAUGCAAGCCCAUCACCACC